rnacentral:antisense_RNA from 1 species
CUGAAUAGAGACAUUUCCCAAACCCAACAGUCUGACCAGGAAGGCAAUGAGCCAGAACAGAAAAUAUCGAUGAGAACCUAGAUGUUCUAUCAAACCAAACCCUUGCCAGGAAGAGGAACACAUUAGCACUUGAGGUCAGUUGGCAUGUUUGGGCAACUGUGGAACAGGGAACACAAUUCAG